CCUACGGGAGGCAGCAGUGGGGGAUAUUGCACAAUGGGGGGAACCCUGAUGCAGCGACGCCGCGUGGGUGAAGGAGUAUUUCGGUAUGUAAAGCCCUAUCGGCAGGGAAGAAAUUGGACGGUACCUGACUAAGAAGCCCCGGCUAACUACGUGCCAGCAGCCGCGGUAAUACGUAGGGGGCAAGCGUUAUCCGGAUUCACUGGGUGUAAAGGGAGCGUAGACGGCCAUGCAAGCCAGGGGUGAAAGCCCGGGGCCCAACCCCGGGACUGCCCGUGGAACUGCAUGGCUGGAGGGUGGGAGGGGCAGGCGGAAUUCCUGGUGUAGCGGUGAAAUGCGUAGAUAUCAGGAGGAACACCGGCGGCGAAGGCGGCCUGCUGGACCGCGACUGACGUUGAGGCUCGAAAGCGUGGGGAGCGAACAGGAUUAGAUACCCGAGUAGUC
rnacentral:rRNA from 1 species